AAUAGAUACCCAGGUAGUCCACGCGUAAACGAUGUCGACUUGGAGGUUGUUCCCUUGAGGAGUGGCUUCCGGAGCUAACGCGUUAAGUCGACCGCCUUGGGGAGUACCGGCCGCGAAGGGUUAAAACCUCAAAUGAAUUUAGACGGGGGGCCCGCACAAGGCCGGUGGAGCAUGGUGGUUUAAUUCGAUGCAACGUCGAAGAACCUUACCUACUCUUGACAUUCCACGGAACUUUUCAGAGAUGAAUUGGUGCCUUCGGGGAACCGUUGAGUACAGGUUGCUGCAUGGCUGUCGUCAGCUCGUGUUGUGAAAUGUUGGGUUAAGUCCCGCUAACGGUAGCCGCAAACCCUUUAUCCUUUGUUCGCCAGCGGUUUAGGCCGGGAACUCAAAGGGUAGACCUGCCAGUGAUAAACUGGAGAAGGUGGGGAUGACGGUCAAGCCAUCAUGGCCCUUACGAGUAGGGCUACANACCGUGCUACAAUGGCGCAUACAAAGGAGAAGCGGACCUCGCGAAGAGCAAGCGGACCUCAUAAACGUGCGUCGUAGUCCGGAUUGGAGUCUGCAACUUCGA
rnacentral:rRNA from 1 species